GGGGAACCCCAAGUUAGAAUUUCUUCACUUCAGGGCGUGUAGAGUCUCAAUCACUACCCUGAAUUAAUGUUGCUGUUCCCUGGCUAAAUUUUUCUGGUGGUUGUUGCUGAAGCAUAUCUUGCAAUCGUAAUGAGAACCACAAGGGCUGAUCUAGUCAUGACGUUGGUUUGGAAAGGGGAGACGUCUGCAGGAUGCUCACCCAGGCCCAGCAACAACGUCGUGCAACAGCUGUUGGGAGAGAUCACUGGAAGUCCCCCACCGCCUUGGCCAUGCCCCAUGAGCAGCACCGGGACCGGUCAGACAAGUGGGGGCGCACUGUGCUCCUGAGCCCCCCGCCUUCCCAGUUUCCAGAUGAGAAACUGCCAGCCGUCUUGGGAGUAUUCAAGGAUAAUUUAUUUUGAAAAAGUACCAUCAUGACUCUCAUACAGAAAUAAA